UACGUAGGGUCCGAGCGUUGUCCGGAUUUAUUGGGCGUAAAGAGCUCGUAGGCGGUUCCGUAAGUCAGAUGUGAAAACUCAGGCUCACCGGACGACGCCAUCUGAUACUGCGGUGACUGGAGUCUGGUAGGGGAGAACGGAAUUCCCGGUGUAGCGGUGAAAUGCGCAGAUAUCGGGAGGAACACCGGUGGCGAAGGCGGUCUCUGGGCCUGUACUGACGCUGAGGAGCGAAAGC
rnacentral:rRNA from 1 species